GCGCGGUUCCCGGGCGGGAAUCCUGGAGCAAGCAGGAAAUUCAAGGUCUCUUCCAGCUCAGGCACCGAGGGCUCCAACCGGCCGGCUGUGCCCGGAGUGCAUGGACGCGGCCCAGCCGUGUGGACGUAGCCCCACCUGUGUGGACGCAGCCCCAGCCCCAGCCAUGUGGACGCGGCCCAGCCGUGUGGACGCAGCCCCAGCUGUGCGGACGCAGCCCCAGCCCCAGCCAUGUGGACGCGGCCCAGCCAUGUGGACGCAGCCCCAGCUGUGUGGACGCAGCCCCAGCUCCAGCCGUGUAGACGCGGCCCAGCCGUGUGGACGCAGCCCCAGCUGUGUGGACACAGCCCCAGCCCCAGCCAUGUGGACGCGGCCCAGCCGUGUGGACGCAGCCCCAGCUCCAGCCAUGUGGACGCGGCCCAGCCGUGUGGACGCAGCCCCAGCUCCAGCCGUGUGGACGCAGCCCCAGCUGUGUGGACGCAGCCCCAGCUCCAGCCAUGUGGACACAGCCCAGCUGUGUGGACACAGCUCCAGCCCCAGCCGUGUGGACGCAGCCCCAGCUCCAGCUCCAGCCGUGUGGACGCGGCUGCUCCAUCACCUUCUCGCCUGGCUCGGGCAGAUGGAGAGUCCGUGGCAGAGGCUGCUGCACAGAGGUUGGGCGUGGGGUCCGAGGCGGCGCCCAGGGACGGGCUGCUCCUGCAGACACACAGGGAGGUCCCCUCGGGCACGCAGGCCACACGGGAGGGGAGCAGGGCGAACACGUGGGCAUCGCGGCUCCUUCCCCCCAGAGAACUUGGGGCUGGCGGCCAGCUCCCCCCCAGCUCCAAACUCCCAUUCAACCGUCCUGCCUGGACCGAGCGCAGGUUUCCACGAAACACCGAGGCGGACACACAGCCUGUGGGCAGCCCACCCAAGGGGGACAACAGGCGUGAGCGUGAGCUGGGCACCUGCUGGGCGCCAGCUCCGCCCCCUGCCGCCGUGGCCACACCAGGUGGGAUGCUCGCCCCCUUCCUGCACUUGGCUGCGAGGCCGGGGCACCUGCUCCAGGUUGCGGGGUGGCUGCUACAGAGCUGUGAACGGCGCCCACACCCGUGCCCAUUCCAGGAACCGGAUCCCCCAUCCCUGGCUCCUGGAAGCUGGGCUGCGGCCCCACAGGGCUCCCCAAGAAGCAAGACGGGCUGGGGACCCCGCCCAAGCUUCCUCUCGUCCGUGGCCUCAGUCACGUCCAGUCGUCCGAGCUGGGCUGACGCCCCUGUACCCGGCCCCGAGGCAGGGGUGGCUGAGGAGCUGGGUGGGGCCCUGUGCACCCUCCUCAGCGGCCACGCUUGAGAGCAGCCCUCCUCCCUGUGCAGCCCUGAACUUGGCCCCAGGCUGUAGAAGACUUGUGUGGCAUCCCCAGGCUCAGCGGCAGAGCUCAGAGCGGGAGACGGAGCCCCCCACCCAGAAGUUUCCAAGAAGCCUGGGCUGG
rnacentral:lncRNA from 1 species